CGCUCUCUGUCAUGAGAAUGCCUAAAUAGAGAGUCGGACCUGCCCAGUGACAUGCGUGUUAAACGGCCGCGGUACUCUGACCGUGCAAAGGUAGCAUAAUCACUUGCCUUUUAAUUGGAGGCUUGUAUGAAUGGUUUGACGAGAGCUAAGCUGUCUCCUUUUUAAAUAUUUAAAAAUUAACUUGUAGGUGAAGAGGCCUAUAUGUAUUUGAGGGACAAGAAGACCCUGUUGAGUUUGAGUGUAGCCGGGAAUUAAGUUUUAUCUAGUUUUUGGUUAAAUUGUAGGUAAUAAAGUUGUAUAUAAUAGAGGCUAGGUUUUUGGUAAAUCUUUAGUUGGGGCGACUGAGGAAUAUAGUAAGCUUCCUUUAAAUGUAUUAUGGCUGUCAAGUUAUUUUGAUCCAGUUUUUACUGAUCAAAGGAAAAAAUUACCACAGGGAUAACAGCGUAAUCUUUUUGGAGAGUUCUUAUCGAAGAAAGGGUUUGCGACCUCGAUGUUGGACUAAGAUAUCCCGAGGGUGUAGAAGCUUUUGAGGGUUGGUCUGUUCGACCAUUAAAAUCUU
rnacentral:rRNA from 2 species